rnacentral:rRNA from 1 species
CCCUUAGAUGUUCUGGGCCGCACGCGUGCUACACUGAGUAAUUCAAUGGGUAAGGGAACGCUAGAGCAUUACCUAAUCUUGAAAUUUGCUCGUGGUGGGGAUCGACGGUUGCAAUUUUCCGUCGUGAACGAGGAAUACCUUGUAGGCGCAUGUCAUCAUCAUGCGCCGAAUACGUCCCUGCCCUUUGUACACACCGCCCGUCGCUCCUACCGAUUGAGUGAUCCGGUGAGGCUCUGGGACCUGGACGGAAAGAGCGUUUCGCUUGUUCUGUUUGGGAAACUUGGUCGAACCUUAUCAUUUAGAGGAAGGAGAAGUCGUAACA